rnacentral:rRNA from 1 species
GCGGAGGAAAGAACUAACAAGGUAUUCCCUUAGUAACGGCGAGUGAAGCGGGAUGAGCCCAGCACCGAAUCUCCCGGCCGUAUGGCCGUGGCGACCUGUGGUGUUUGGGAGUGUCGUUGGUGUGCUGUCGGAUGCUCAAGUCCCCUUGAAUGGGGCAUACGUCCAUAGAUGGGUGCAAGGCCCGUAGAGCUGACGACGGCGCACCUCUGGCGCUCUCUGGAGUCGGGUUGCUUGAGAAUGCAGCCCAAAGUGGGUGGUAAACUCCAUCUAAGGCUAAAUAUAUGCACAAGACCGAUAGCAAACAAGUACCGUGAGGGAAAGUUGAAAAGCACUUGAAGAGAGAGUUGGAAAGUACGUGAAACCGUUUACAGGUAAACGGACGGAUCUCAUUAGUCGGUGACAGAGAUUCAGGCGCGUGCUGGGCGUGCUGCGGCGUUCUUGUCGGCUCGGCGCUGUGUCUUCGGGCGCGGCGCUGGGCGACUCCGCUGUUGGCGCGCUCGGCCGCGACGCACUUCUCUUGUCGUUUACCGAGCGCUACGACCGCCUGCGCGGCAGCCAGAAGGCCUCCUGAGCAAGGUAGCUUGGUGUGCGGCUCACGCCGUCGCCAAGAACUUAUAGGCUCGCGGAGGUUCCAACCGGCCUGCUGCAAGGGUGAGGACUGUCAACGUGUCGUGCGGUGCCGUCUGGGCGACGCCGUCGUGUGGAGACUGGCGAGGACUGCUUGCAGUGCUCGUUGACUUCGCGCGGCGGGUCAGUUGCUCGGCGCGGCCCGCGCCGUUGGGUCAGUGGCGUGCAAUGGGCUCUCUGUCCGACCCGUCUUGAAACACGGACCAAGGAGUCUAGCUCAUGCGCAAGUCAAAGGGUGUCUAGUCGAUGUACGAAACCCCAAGGCGUAAUGAAAGUGAAAUUCUUUUGUUAGGUGUGAUCGCGGCCUGAACAACCGCGCGCAGCACCGGCCCGUCCCAAUAGGCCCGCGUUCUGGGGCGAGCAAGAGCGAU